rnacentral:rRNA from 1 species
AACGAACGCUGGCGGCAGGCUUAACACAUGCAAGUCGAACGCGCCCUUCGGGGCGAGUGGCAGACGGGUGAGUAACGCGUGGGAACCUACCUUUUGGUACGGAAUAACUCAGGGAAACUUGAGCUAGUACCGUAUGUGCCCUUCGGGGGAAAGAUUUAUCGCCAAAGGAUGGGCCCGCGUCGGAUUAGCUAGUUGGUGGGGUAAUGGCCUACCAAGGCGACGAUCCGUAGCUGGUCUGAGAGGAUGAUCAGCCACACUGGGACUGAGACACGGCCCAGACUCCUACGGGAGGCAGCAGUGGGGAAUAUUGGACAAUGGGGGCAACCCUGAUCCAGCCAUGCCGCGUGAGUGAUGAAGGCCUUAGGGUUGUAAAGCUCUUUCGCCGGUGAAGAUAAUGACGGUAACCGGAGAAGAAGCCCCGGCUAACUUCGUGCCAGCCGCCGCGGUAACAC